rnacentral:rRNA from 1 species
UACAGAGGGUGCGAGCGUUGUCCGGAAUCACUGGGCGUAAAGGGCGCGUAGGUGGCUCGUUAAGCGUGUGGUGAAAGCCUGGGGCUCAACCCCAGGUCUGCCGUGCGAACUGGCGAGCUUGAGCAGAGUAGAGGCGGGUGGAAUUUCGGGUGUAGCGGUGGAAUGCGUAGAUAUCCGAAAGAACACCGGUGGCGAAGGCGGCCCGCUGGGCUCUUGCUGACACUGAUGCGCGACAGCGUGGGGAGCAAACAGG